rnacentral:rRNA from 1 species
CGUAGGAGGCGAGCGUUGUCCGGAAUCAUUGGGCGUAAAGAGCGCGCAGGCGGCCUGUCAAGUCGGGUGUGAAAUCCCGGGGCUCAACCCCGGGACUGCAUCCGAUACUGUCAGGCUAGAGGUAGGUAGGGGAGAUCGGAAUUCCUGGUGUAGCGGUGAAAUGCGCAGAUAUCAGGAGGAACACCGGUGGCGAAAGCGGAUCUCUGGGCCUUACCUGACGCUCAGGCGCGAAAGCUAGGGGAGCGAACAGGAUUAGAUACCCUGGUAGUCCUAGCCGUAAACGUUGGGUGCUAGGUGUGGGCGGAUAUCGACCCUGUCCGUGCCGAAGCUAACGCAUUAAGCACCCCGCCUGGGGAGUACGGCCGCAAGGCUA